GACGAACGCUGGCGGCGUGCCUAAUGCAUGCAAGUAGAACGCACAGGAUGCACCGUAGUUUACUACACCGUAUUCUGUGAGUUGCGAACGGGUGAGUAACGCGUAGGUAACCUGCCUGGUAGCGGGGGAUAACUAUUGGAAACGAUAGCUAAUACCGCAUAAGAACAUUUACUGCAUGGUAGAUGUUUAAAAGGUGCAAAUGCAUCACUACCAGAUGGACCUGCGUUGUAUUAGCUAGUAGGUGAGGUAACGGCUCACCUAGGCGACGAUACAUAGCCGACCUGAGAGGGUGAUCGGCCACACUGGGACUGAGACACGGCCCAGACUCCUACGGGAGGCAGCAGUAGGGAAUCUUCGGCAAUGGGGGGAACCCUGACCGAGCAACGCCGCGUGAGUGAAGAAGGUUUUCGGAUCGUAAAGCUCUGUUGUUAAGGAAGAACGAGUGUGAGAAUGGAAAGUUCAUACUGUGACGGUACUUAACCAGAAAGGGACGGCUAACUACGUGCCAGCAGCCGCGGUAAUACGUAGGUCCCGAGCGUUGUCCGGAUUUAUUGGGCGUAAAGCGAGCGCAGGCGGUUAGAUAAGUCUGAAGUUAAAGGCAGUGGCUCAACCAUUGUAGGCUUUGGAAACUGUUUAACUUGAGUGCAGAAGGGGAGAGUGGAAUUCCAUGUGUAGCGGUGAAAUGCGUAGAUAUAUGGAGGAACACCGGUGGCGAAAGCGGCUCUCUGGUCUGUAACUGACGCUGAGGCUCGAAAGCGUGGGGAGCGAACAGG
rnacentral:rRNA from 1 species